AUAGUUAAGCGCAUGCACCUAUGUAGUCGCGUUUCACUUUUCAAUGAACCAUUCCACUACGGCAGUACAGUUAGUGUGUGGUGCUGAAAUCACGGCCAUCAGCUGGCCGCACACCAUCGUCGCUCGGGUUAAAUUCCUUCACGAUUAAAGGGGGAAAAGCGAUUGGGGUGAAGAAUUUAAUUGUUGCCAGGCAACAUUAGAACAUCCAACUCGAACGAUUAUCCCAUCCGCGAGCCAUCAAUCACAGAGUUCAAUGGCACUCGUAGCCAUGGUAAUCAUUUUACAAUCAUUUAAUUGAACAACCACAGCAUUUGUUGGGUGUGCUUUUCGACACUCUCUGCUUGAAAACGGUGUGCUGAAAAGCUCGGCUGCUACCAUCGUGUGAAGAAAUCUAAUCAAUCAACUUCACAUCGGCCCCCGCGAGACGGACAAGGAGGACAAACCCCGCAUACAGCGCAUAAAUGGAUUUGUGUCCUUAGCGUUGCCAGCAUGGAAAGAAACACAUUUGGCAUGGAACCGACCCGUCUGUGUUUGUGUCGCACGUUUGCCGAUAAAAAUAACCUAACGGCGAGUCGGGGUCGGAAUUGGAUUACAGCGCGAACACGCGCGUCGCUCGUAACAAGAACCGUUUGUCGCCGGUCCUCCUGCACAGCGACUGCUAACAGGUGGUGGUAACAGGUUAUACCGUGCUGUUCCUGCAGUCGCUUCCAAAAGAUAAGCAGGCGAUCAAGUCGCUGGCCUCAUUAAAUAGAAUGUUUCGAAAUCGUGUAGAACUAUUGGGUUGCAGAUAAGGAUAACAGCUACGGAAUUAGGUGCCGCAGGAAGCAUUUGUGCUCCUAAUUAGACCUUCAGGGGCGUAGAUAGCUGAAUGGUUUUAUCGAUCCUUCGUCCUGUCACACGAUGCGCAUGUUGCCGGGUUGCAGCUGCAGAAUGUCGUGUUUCGUUUUUCCUUUGUGAAUCAGUUAAACUCGUUAAAGGCUGGAGAAGAAGCCUGCCGCUGCGCCUGCCCUCCCUACAAUGUGUGGUAAUUUGCCAUCUUGAGUCGAUUAUUCAAUUCCCCUUGGCCACAUGAUUGGGAGAACCGUUCCCGUGAUUGUGUGUGGAUUCAAUUCAUUGGUUCAGGGCGGCUUCCAUCCACAUGCUCUUUCCAUCCCGGUGCGACGAGAAACACGAAACCGCAACUGUCUGGGGUUUAACAUUUCGAAUGGAUAAGGCAUUUUGGUGGGUAGGUACACGAGUACCGCCGAGGAGGAGAUAAUUAUCUGCUGCCUAAUGCAACUUCGCCUCGGGCGCCUGGCCAUGGCUUGCAACAUUAUCCACUUGCACUUACGGCACACGCGAUACAAGAACAACAACAAAAAACCAACACAUGGCACGGCGCAUAAAGCAAGCUCAGUUGCUUUUACGAAAUCCGCUCUAAACAACACUUUGUAGCAGCAGCACCAGUUUGGCCAAAACGUGCAGAAGAACAGGUUCACACACGCUGCAUUGGCCCUGCACAUGCACACUUUUUAAGCAAGCUCAUGGCCACUUUCGUGAAUGGGAGAAUAAUUAUGCUCGGCGUUGAGGAAAGUAGGGCACUAACAGAUGGGUUUUUUUUUGCAAAGAAAUUCACACAAGACACCACACCACACGCAGCGAAAGGAAGUGCUUCGUUUCCAUUGGUUUUUCCAGCGAUAUGGAAAUCACCAAUGUAAGAAACACAGAACAGGAGCGAAGCGUGCGCCACGAGAAGAAGUCAACAACCAACGAGCGAAUGAAUGGAACAUGCAGAUGUGUGUAUGUGUG